rnacentral:rRNA from 1 species
CAGCCGCCGCGGGAAUACGGAGGGGGCUAGCGUUGUUCUGAAUUACUGGGCGUAAAGCGCACGUAGGCGGCUUUGUAAGUUAGAGGUGAAAGCCCGGAGCUCAACUCCGGAAUUGCCUUUAAGACUGCAGAGCUAGCAGGUGAGAGAGGUGAGUGGAGUUCCGUGUGUAGAGGUGAAAUUCGUAGAUAUUCGGAAGAACACCAGUGGCGAAGGCGGCUCACUGGCUCAUACUGGACGCUGAGGUGCGAAAGCGUGUGGAGCAAACAGGAUUAGAUACCCCGGUAGUCCCUGUCUCUUAUAC